UGCUUAUAUUACCGAUUAUGUGAGUACAACAGGUAAUGAUUCAUGUGCAUUAUGUACUACAUCAUCAUGUUAUGCAUUCUAUGUACUACCGGGGUAUAUUUGAUGUCCACUUUGGUUGGGGUGGAGUGUAUUUAUGUUCACUUUGGUUGGGGUGGAGUGUAUCAUUAAAAUGAUAUGGUUAUGUUUUAUGCAGCGUUAUGUAUUGAUGAUAGUAUAAUUUGACUUGAGUGCGGGGUUAGUGCGCAUCUUUGCUGUGUUUUGUUUCACCUAGGCUACUACCUGUGAACAUGGUCGGCCUGGCGGGUUUCUAAGCCGGCCCAUCACUGUGCUAUGGGAUUUUCUGGCGGUUGGUCCUCCACUCUACAGGUUAGUUGUGUUUAUUAAUUUACUCUAUGCUGUUUAGUAUAUUUUUUGUGAAGGUUACAAGCAUAGGAUGUGUUAAUUAGGUAAGGUAAUGGACACUGGAUAAUAUUGUUGACAGACAGUGUGUGUAGAGUCGACCUGGACGUGAUGAUAGUUGGGGUGUUGGUGAUCUCCCGCGCCACAAUCGGAGUAUGUAAGGAAGGCCUGGACUUGUGGCUAAUUGUGGUGGCGACAUGUCAGGUGUGUUACGGGGAUUCGGAAGGCGUCGAUGUGGGCCACUGAAGCCGAAACACUCCAAGCAAUAAAGCCUUGUUACGA